rnacentral:rRNA from 1 species
GACCAAGAAGUCUAACAUGUGUGCGAGUCAUUGGGUAUUUUGUUGAAACCUAAGGGCGUAAUUAAAAUAACUAUUUUAUGGGAUUACAAGUGAAUUAAAUUUCAUUUCUUCAUCCCGGGGCGUUCUAUACGAACAUGGUGCAAGCAAUUGAACCCUCUGUUCAAGAGCGUACCUUGAGCAUACAUGCUGUGACCCGAAAGAUGGUGAACUAUACCUGAUCAGAUCGAAGCCAGGAGAAAUUCUGGUGGAGGAUCGAAACAGUUCUGACGUGCAAAUCGAUUGUCAGAAUUGGGUAUAGGGGCGAAAGACCAAUCGAACCAUCUAGUAGCUGGUUCCCUCCGAAGUUUCCCUCAGGAUAGCUGGCGCAAAGAAUUAUAUUGUAUAUAAUCUUAUCUGGUAAAGCGAAUGAUUAGAGGCCUUGGGGCCGAAACGACCUCAACCUAUUCUCAAACUUUAAAUGGGUAAGAACCUCAUCUUUCUUGAUCUGAAGAUAUUGGGGUUUAGAUAUAUUGUGCCCAGUGGGCCACUUUUGGUAAGCAGAACUGGCGCUGUGGGAUGAACCAAACAUGAUGUUACGGCGCCUAAAUUAAUGACUCAUAUUGAUACCAUGAAAGGCGUUGGUUGCUUAAAACAGCAGGACGGUGGACAUGGAAGUCGUAAUCCGCUAAGGAGUGUGUAACAACUCACCUGCCGAAGCAACUAGCCCUUAAAAUGGAUGGCGCUCAAGUCAUAUGCCUAUACAUCAUCGCUAGAAUAAAAAUUGUUGACCAUUCGUCAUCAUUAUGAAAUUCUAGUGAGUAGGAGGGUACAAUGGUGUGCGCAGAAGUGUUUGGCGUGAGCCUGCAUGAAGCCGCCAUUGGCACAGAUCUUGGUGGUAGUAGCAAAUAAUCGAAUGAGAUCUUGGAGGACUGAAGUGGAGAAGGGUUUCGUGUGAACAGUGGUUGAUCACGAGUUAGUCGGUCCUAAGCUUUAUGCGAAAGCUGUUUAAUUUAUGUUACACACAAUAUUUUUGUUGUACAUAAUUCAAUAAAAGCGAAAGGGAAUACGGUUCCAAUUCCGUAACCUGUUGAGUAUACGUUUGUUUAUUAAAAAUGGGUCUUAUUACACUCAUCCUGGCAACAGGAACGACCAUAGAGAAGCCUUCGAGAGAUACUGGAAGAGUUUUCUUUUCUGCUAAACAAACGUAUCACCAUGGAAGUCUUUUAUAGAGAGAUAUGGUGGAUGGCUUGGAAGAGCAUGACAUUUACUGUUGUGUCAGUAUUUUCUCCUUGGACCUUGAAAAUCUAUGGUGGGGCCACGCAAACUUCUCAACAGACCGUACCGAUAUCCGCAG